GACGAACGCUGGCGGCGUGCUUAACACAUGCAAGUCGAGCGGUAAGGCCCUUUCGGGGUACACGAGCGGCGAACGGGUGAGUAACACGUGGGUGACCUGCCCUCAGCUCUGGGAUAAGCCUGGGAAACCGGGUCUAAUACUGGAUAUGACUCCAUGACGCAUGUUGUGGGGUGGAAAGCCUUGUGCGGCUGAGGAUGGGCCCGCGGCCUAUCAGCUUGCUGGUGGGGUGAUGGCCUACCAAGGCGACGACGGGUAGCCGGCCUGAGAGGGCGACCGGCCACACUGGGACUGAGACACGGCCCAGACUCCUACGGGGAGGCAGCAGUGGGGAAUCUUGCGCAAUGGGCGAAAGCCUGACGCAGCGACGCCGCGUGAGGGAU
rnacentral:rRNA from 1 species